AGAGUUUGAUCCUGGCUCAGGAUGAACGCUGGCGGCGUGCUUAACACAUGCAAGUCGAACGCACCUUCGGGUGAGUGGCGGACGGGUGAGUAACGCGUGAGAAUCUGCCCUCAGGAGGGGGAUAACGGCUGGAAACGGCCGCUAAUACCCCAUAUGCCGAGAGGUGAAACGAGUUUUCGCCUGAGGAUGAGCUCGCGUCUGAUUAGCUAGUUGGUGGGGUAAGAGCCUACCAAGGCAUCGAUCAGUAGCUGGUCUGAGAGGAUGAUCAGCCACACUGGGACUGAGACACGGCCCAGACUCCUACGGGAGGCAGCAGUGGGGAAUUUUCCGCAAUGGGCGAAAGCCUGACGGAGCAACGCCGCGUGAGGGAUGAAGGCCUCUGGGCUGUAAACCUCUUUUCUCAAGGAAGAAGAUCUGACGGUACUUGAGGAAUAAGCCACGGCUAAUUCCGUGCCAGCAGCCGCGGUAAUACGGGAGUGGCAAGCGUUAUCCGGAAUUAUUGGGCGUAAAGCGUCCGCAGGCGGUCUUGAAAGUCUGUUGUUAAAGCGUGGAGCUUAACUCCAUUUCAGCAAUGGAAACUAGAAGACUAGAGUGUGGUAGGGGCAGAGGGAAUUCCCGGUGUAGCGGUGAAAUGCGUAGAUAUCGGGAAGAACACCAGUGGCGAAGGCGCUCUGCUGGGCCAUAACUGACGCUCAUGGACGAAAGCCAGGGGAGCGAAAGGGAUUAGAUACCCCUGUAGUCCUGGCCGUAAACGAUGAACACUAGGUGUCGGGGGAAUCGACCCCCUCGGUGUCGUAGCCAACGCGUUAAGUGUUCCGCCUGGGGAGUACGCACGCAAGUGUGAAACUCAAAGGAAUUGACGGGGGCCCGCACAAGCGGUGGAGUAUGUGGUUUAAUUCGAUGCAACGCGAAGAACCUUACCAGGGUUUGACAUCCUGCGAACCCCUUGGAAACGAGGGGGUGCCUUCGGGAGCGCAGAGACAGGUGGUGCAUGGCUGUCGUCAGCUCGUGUCGUGAGAUGUUGGGUUAAGUCCCGCAACGAGCGCAACCCACGUCUUUAGUUGCCAGCAUUGAGUUGGGCACUCUAGAGAGACCGCCGGUGAUAAACCGGAGGAAGGUGUGGAUGACGUCAAGUCAUCAUGCCCCUUACAUCCUGGGCUACACACGUACUACAAUGCUACGGACAAAGGGCAGCAAACUCGCGAGAGCUAGCAAAUCCCAUAAACCGUGGCUCAGUUCAGAUCGUAGGCUGCAACUCGCCUACGUGAAGGAGGAAUCGCUAGUAAUCGCAGGUCAGCAUACUGCGGUGAAUACGUUCCCGGGCCUUGUACACACCGCCCGUCACACCAUGGAAGUUGGCCACGCCCGAAGUCGUUACUCCAACCCUUGUGGAGGAGGACGCCGAAGGUGGGGCUGAUGACUGGGGUGAAGUCGUAACAAGGUA
rnacentral:rRNA from 1 species